AGUGGAGUACUCCAGCAAGGUCAAACCCAUGCGGUUUUAUCCGGUAAAGUGAAUGAUUAGAGGUCUUGGGGAGGAAAGGAUCUCAACCUUUCUCAAACUUUGAAUGGGUAAGAAGCCUGACUUGCUGGUAUGCAGCCGGGUGUGGCCCAGAGCCUAGUAGGCCACUUUUGGUAAGCAGAAUUGGCACUGCAGAAUGAACCAAACACCAGGUUAAGGCACCCAAUGUUGACGCUCAUCAGACCCCAGUAAAGGUAUUGGAUGAUACAGGCACCAGGACAGUAGCCGCGGAAGUCAGAAUCCACUAAGGAGUGUGUAGCAACUCACCUGCCGAAUCAACUAGCCCUGAAAAUGGAUGGAGCUGAAGUGUCGGGACCAUACCUGGUCCUCCCUGUCAGCUGCCCACCCGACCCCGAGUCUGACACGUGUGUGAGUC
rnacentral:ncRNA from 1 species